rnacentral:snRNA from 1 species
AUACUUCCCUGUCAGAGAAAGAGUGAAGCCUAUUUAUGCUCUUGGGAUGUGCUGACCCAUGUGUUUCGCCAAAUUUGGGAGACUUGACGGCAUAAUUUGUCACAGUGGGGGGGGACUGCAUUUGAGCUUUCCUCUG